CGUUGAAACACCCGUUCCCGUACGAUCACCGAAGUUAAGCAACGUCGAGUCUGGUCUCUUCCUAUAUAGGUGACCGCUUGGAAAUACAAGGCGUUGUAA